UGUAGGAGAUCACUUGUGCAGAUGUAACGACGAAGCCAACUCGUUCUGGAAUUCAGAUGAAAAUACCUGUAAAGAAAGAUCGAGUUUCGAGACGAAAUGUGCAUCCAGUAUGCACAACAGCUGCAAUGACACUUUGGUAUGCACAGACGAGGUUUCUGGUCCAGUUUGCAGGUGUAAAAAAGGGAACGUGUGGAAUCGGAAGACAGAAACCUGCAUAAAAAUGUCUCUAAUAAAUGAAAGCUGUGAAUCAGAUGACCAUUGCAUCAGAAACCUCGUUUGCAAAGGAACCGGAUUCAGAUAUUGUACAUGUGGAACCGACGUUGAAUUUUGGAACACAAGAA